UGUUGUUUCUUUUUUUAUUUAUUUAUUUUGGACCUCAUUCUAUUGGUUUUUUUUCCUUUUGUUAAUGUUUUUAUUCCUUUUGAUUUAACUCUCAAAUCUAAAAAUUGUUGUUUCCCUUUAAUUUAUUUUUUAUCUUAAUUUUAAUUCUCAUUCUUUUAAUUGACUAUUUUUUGAGGAUUUUUCUUUAUCUAAUCCUUCAACGAUUUAUUUCCUAAG
rnacentral:lncRNA from 1 species